GCAGGGUCACCCCAGGGUCACCUGCCUCCUACGUGCAGCACAUCAGCUUGGCUGCAGGACAGCUACAGCUGAAGCUGCUUUCUCUAGCUGGGAGCUGAAGAAAUGCAAGCAGGGGAUAUUAAACUGAUGAAAUGACACAAUGUGAAGGGGAAAUGCUCUAUAGGGAAAACACUCUCCUGGCUGGGCCUUUUCUAGGUAGCUGAGGAGACACAGCCUUUGUGAGCUGAGUGCAUGGAACACCCAUGACGUGGGACAAAAGCAGCCCAUGGACAUUGUGGAACUCCUGGAAAUCUACAUCUCAAAGGUCCCCCUGAAAUGAGCUCUGCUGCACACACAGCUGUGUGAGUCUGUGGAGUGGGACUUGGACCUUGUUGUGUGAUAGAAAUGGGAUAAACAUAGGCCUUUUGGGUGAUUUGGCUCAUUUGCCAGAUAAGAUCUUUGCUCAGAACAGAAAUACCAGGCUGCACAUUCCCACAACAAACUGGACUUUAGAAACACCCUAAUUUUCAAACUGAUCCCUCCAUUGAGAUGGUUCCCAGUGCUCCAAAUUCCCAGAACUUUUAAGAAAUAAAUGUUUCCUUUUUCCCUCA